CCUACGGGCGGCAGCAGUGAGGAAUAUUGGUCAAUGGACGAGAGUCUGAACCAGCCAAGUAGCGUGAAGGAUGACUGCCCUAUGGGUUGUAAACUUCUUUUAUAGGGGAAUAAAAUGUGCCACGUGUGGGAUGUUGUAUGGACCAUAUGAAUAAGGAUCGGCUAACUCCGUGCCAGCAGCCGCGGUAAUACGGAGGAUACGAGCGUUAUCCGGAUUUAUUGGGUUUAAAGGGAGCGUAGGUGGAUUGUUAAGUCAGUUGUGAAAGUUUGCGGCUCAACCGUAAAAUUGCAGUUGAAACUGGCAGUCUUGCGUCCAGUAGAGGUGGGCGGAAUUCGUGUUGUAGCUG
rnacentral:rRNA from 1 species